AACGAACGCUGGCGGCAGGCCUAACACAUGCAAGUCGAGCGAGCACACCGGGGUGAGCGGCGGACGGGGGAGUAAGGGGAGGGAACGUGCACUUGUCUACGGAAUAGCCUCGGGAAACGGAGAGUAAUAGCGUAUAGGCGCUAAGGGGGAAAGAUAUAUCGGAAAAGGAUCGGCCAGAGUUGGAUAAGGUAGUUGGUGUGGUAAUGGCCUCCCAAGCCGACGAUCCAUAGCUGGGUUGAGAGAAUGAUCAGCCACACUUGGACUGAGACACGGCCCGGACUCCUACGGGAGGCAGCAGUGGGUAAUCUUAGACCACGGGGGCAAUCCUGAUCUAGCCCUGCCGCGUGAGUUAUGAUGGCCUUAGGGUUGUAAAGCUCUUUCAGCUAGGAAGAUAUUGACGGUACCAGCAGAAGAAGCCCCGGCUAACUCCGUG
rnacentral:rRNA from 1 species